rnacentral:rRNA from 1 species
GUGUCAGCAGCCGCGGUAAUACGGAGGGUGCAAGCGUUGUUCGGAAUUAUUGGGCGUAAAGCGCGUGUAGGCGGUCUGUUAAGUCUGGUGUGAAAGCCCCGGGCUCAACCCGGGAAGUGCAUUGGAUACUGACAGACUUGAGUACGGGAGAGGAGAGUGGAAUUCCCAGUGUAGGGGUGAAAUCCGUAGAUAUUGGGAGGAACACCGGUGGCGAAGGCGGCUCUCUGGACCGAUACUGACGCUGAGACGCGAAAGCGUGGGGAGCAAACAGGAUUAGAAACCCUGGUAGUCC